GUUUAGACAUCCUGGAGGCCGGAAGCAACAGGAGCACUAAUCAUGUAGGCAGAGAACUAAGUUCAACACCCCUCUGCUUUUCUGGAAGAGGUGGGCAUACAGCACUGCCCUUGUUCCCUUAACCUUGCAGGCUAUCCACUAACUCUCCCACAGGUGACUCCUGUGUGUCCCUUGAGAAGAUGGCACAUGGGACAAGUGAUGAGUCUAUGGAAUAGGAGUGUAUCCAGAAGACACCUGCUAGGUGUCUCCAGAUCUGGAUCAUGGGAAUCCUGCUUCACUUUCUAUCCUCAAGUAUUGUGAGCCCCAUGAGACCAGGCUGGGAGCUUGGCCUCCCAAGACCUACCCAACACAGGCACCAGGACACAGACAGGGCCAGAGUCACAUACUUGAACAGAUGGCCAGGGUCAAAAGCUAUUUGUGUUUGGUUUUGAGUACGGGUGGGAUCACCCUUGCUUUCAUGUUAGAAAUCUGUAUUCUGGAUGCUCUGGCCUUUGAAGGGUGUGGGAAGACAGCCUCAGGCUAGGCCACGCUGCUGCUGACACAGGGCCAGAAGGGCUGGGGCUGAAAGGAAACAUCUGUGAGGGGUUGUGUGAGGGCCAGCUGCAUGCAGAGCCAGAAUUUCACAUGUUUAAGCAGAUCUAGGUGGGGUGCCCAGAUCUUGUUUUGUCCAGUUUUGACUUUAAAUGUUUUCAAAGCGGUGGAGGAAAACAGAAAAAUAAACUGCAUUGUGCCUUGACCCUCUUCCCAGUUUUCCACCUCUGCUUCUACACUUAGCACAAUAAGAUAGCCUUGAGGGUGGAGGGCUUAGCACACAUUUCCUUAGGGAAAUAUUAAUCUAGUGUGUCUGUCCUGGCUGAAACCCAGCCCUCCCUGCUUUCUUCUGACACAUGAUGGGGACAGUACCACAGAUGUGUAGUUGGAGGGGGGGGAGGGGGUAAAAGUGAUAGGGCUCCAGGUGGCCUGUCAGAAUCCACUGUGGCCGGCUGCACUGGUGCUGUGCGCCUGGCUAGAGAGAAGUGGAGUAGACAAGAGAAUAUGAAUGCUUUACAGAUCCAGGGUCAGCAUGGGUAGCAGAUGAGCCAGAAUUGCUGUUAUGUAUCCGUCCAUGCUUUGUACAGGGAAGUGCAAACUGCCCAUAAGGGCUUCAUACAUAGGCUGUAUUCUGAGAGCUGCACC
rnacentral:lncRNA from 1 species